GAGACACCAGAUGGUGGACACCUUUACUAUGGGGUAUACUGUACCGACACCUAUAGGUGGAGACACCAGAUGGUGGACACCUCUACUAUGGGGUAUACUGUACCGAGAUCUAUAGGUGGAGACACCAGGUAAAGGACACCUCUAAUGAGAUCUAUAGGUAGAGACAUCAGGUGCAGGACACCUCUAUCAUGGGGGUAUAAUGUAGCUUGAGAUCUAUAGGUGGAGACACCAGGUGAAGGCCUCCUCUACUAUGGGGUAUACUGUACCGAGAUCUAUAGGUGGAGACACCAGGUGAAGGACACCUCUAAUGAGAUCUAUAGGUAGAGACAUCAGGUGCAGGACACCUCUAUCAUGGGGGUAUAAUGUAGCUUGAGAUCUAUAGGUGGAGACACCAGGUGAAGGCCACCUUUACUAUGGGGGUAUAAUGUACCCCGAGAUCUAUAGGUGGAGACAUCAGAUGGUUGACACCUCUAUCACAGGGAUAUAAUGUACCCUGAAAUCUACAGGUGGAGACAACAGGAACAGGACACCUCUACUAUUGGGGUAUAGCGUACCCUGAGAUUUAGAGGUGGAAACAUCAUGUGCAGGACACCUCUACUAUGGAGGUAUAAUGUACCCUGAGAUCAAUAGGUGGAGACACCAUGUGCAGGAGACCUCUACUUUGGGGGUAUAAUGUACCAUCAGCUCUACAAGUGGAGAUACCAGGUUAAAUAAAAGAAAAUAAUUCCCGCAGAACUCUCUGUCUUCAGUCAUAUAUGCAACGUUUCGACUUCACAGAGUCUUUUUAAAGCAUAUAUCUGUGAAGUCGAAACAUUGCACGGUAGGUGAAUAAACCAUAUAUGACUGAAGACAUAGAGUGCUGCGGGAAUUAUUUUCUUUUAUGGAUUACUGGGGGCCUGUCGGGCUUGGAACAAACACUGCUGGCACCGCCACCAUUGGGACCGAAUUUUGAAUACAUCCAGUGAGUAGUGCUGUUUUUUUUCCUCUAAACAAGAUACCAGGUUCAAUACAUCUCUACUAUAAUAUAAUGUACCAUGAGAUCUAUAGGUGGAAACAUUAGGUACAGGACACCUCUACGAUGGGGUUAUAAUGUACCCUGAGAUCUAUGGGUGGAAACAGUGCAAUGCGCUGGAGUAAGGGUACUGUGAAGUCUGGACAUUUGCCCCUGUUUCCACUAUGCAAAGUUAAAACUUCUUACUUUAUUUCUCUUGAAAGGGUUAACUUUCACUGUUUAUUACAGUGUUACUGCAUUUUAUAUGUAUGUCCUGAUACAUAUCUUGUCCAUUACAUGACUCUGUGGAAAGAGUUAAUGGAUCCUAAGAGACUUUUGGGACUUUGAAUGAGAAGCUGGUAAUUUUCCACAGCUGCCAAAAGCUUUAAAGAAGAGGAUGUUUUGGAGGAGAAAAGCCAGACUUGUU